GUUUGAUCCUGGCUCAGGAUGAACGCUGGCUGUGUGCCUAAUACAUGCGUGUCGAACGAAGUACUUGUACUUAGUGGCAAAUGGGUGAGUAACACGUACCUAACUUGCCUUUUAGAUUGGGACAACCACGGGAAACUGUGGCUAAUACCAAAUAUGUAUAAUUAACAUAUGUUUUUUAUAUGAAAGGAAGCGAUUGCUUUGCUAAAAGAUAGGGGUGCGCUACAUUAGCUUGUUGGUAGGGUAAAAGCCUACCAAGGCUAUGAUGUAUAGUGGGAUCGAGAGGUUGAACCACCACACUGGGAUUGAGAUACGGCCCAGACUCCUACGGGAGGCAGCAGUAGGGAAUAUUCCACAAUGAGCGAAAGCUUGAUGGAGCGACACAGCGUGUAGGAUGAAUGCCUUAGGGUUGUAAACUACUGCUAUAAGAGAAGAAUAGCUAAAAAAGGAAAUGUUUUUAGUCUGACGGUAUCUUAUCAGAAAGCAGUUGCAAACUAUGUGCCAGCAGCAGCGGUAAUACAUAGACUGCAAGCGUUAUCCGGAAUUAUUGGGCGUAAAGCAUUCGUAGGUUGUUUAUUAAGUUUGGUGUUAAAAACAAAAGCUCAACUUUUGUUUGCAUUAAAUACUAAUAGACUAGAGCUAUAAAGAGGUUAAUGGAACUCCAUAUGAAGCGGUGGAAUGCGUAGAUAUGUGGAAGAACACCAAUGGCGAAGGCAAUUAACUGGAUAUACACUGACACUGAGGGAUGAAAGCGUGGGGAGCAAACAGGAUUAGAUACCCUGGUAGUCCACGCUGUAAACGAUGUUUGUUAAUCGGUGGUGAAAUCACUGAUACAGCUAACGCAAUAAACAAACUGCCUGAGUAGUAUGCUCGCAAGAGUGAAACUUAAAGGAAUUGACGGGGAGCCGCACAAGCGGUGGAGCAUGUGGUUUAAUUCGAAGAUACGCGAAGCACCUUACCAACAUUUGACAUCUUUUGCAAAGGCAUAGAGGUAUGCUGGAGGAUAACAAAAAGACAGGUGGUGCAUGGCCGUCGUCAGCUCGUGCCGUGAGGUGUUGGGUUAAGUCCUAUAACGAGCGCAACCCUUUUCUUUAGUUACUAACAUUUAGUUGAGCACUCUAAAGAUACUGCCUAGGUAACUAGGAGGAAGGAGGGGAUGAGGUAGGUCAUCAUGCCUCUUACAUGUUGGGUUACACACGUGCUACAAUGGCAAAUACAAAGAGAAGCAAAAUCGUGAGGUGGAGCAAAUCUGUAAAAUUUGUCUCAGUUCGGAUUGGAGUCUGCAACUCGACUCCAUGAAGUAGGAAUCGCUAGUAAUCCUAGAUCAUCAAUGCUAGGGUGAAUACGUUCUCGGCUCUUGUACACACCGCCCGUCAAACCAUGGGAGUUGGUAAUACCCAAAGCUAGUUAGUUAACCAUUUAUUUGGAGGCAACUAUCUAAGGUAGGAUCAAUGACUGGGGUUAAGUCGUAACAAGGUAGCC
rnacentral:rRNA from 1 species